AACGAACGCUGGCGGCAUGCCUAACACAUGCAAGUCGAACGAGACCUUCGGGUCUAGUGGCGCACGGGUGCGUCACGCGUCGGAACCUGCCCUUAGGUUCGGAAUAACUCCCCGAAAGGGGUGCUAAUACCGGAUAAUGUCUUCGGACCACAGAUUUAUCGCCUUUGGAUGGGCCCGCGUUGGAUUAGCUAGUUGCUAGGGUAAAAGCCUACCAAGGCGACGAUCCAUAGCUGGUCUGAGAGGAUGAGCAGCCACACUGGGACUGAGACACGGCCCAGACUCCUACGGGAGGCAGCAGUGGGGAAUAUUGGAAAAUGGGCGAAAGCCUGAUCCAGCAAUGCCGCGUGAGUGAUGAAGGCCUUAGGGUUGUAAAGCUCGUUUACCCGGGAUGAUAAUGACAGUACCGGGAGAAUAAGCUCCGGCUAACUCCGUG
rnacentral:rRNA from 1 species